UCAACGAUGAAUCCGGGUCUAGAAGGCCCCAUAACCGGCACUGUACUGCACGGCUGUAUCUCUGCGUUGUGUGUGAUUGAUUGGGACUAUAGACGUGGACUUCGGAGAUCAGGCUGUUUUAAUGAAUCAGAAUUAUCUCUGCAUCCAAAAGAAAAGACAAAACAUUUGUAGAGCACAAAUAUGUUCUGCCCAUUGUCGCCUCUUUCUACAACAUAGACGCACAAUACAAAGGACUGGGAUCAGUCGAGGAGCUAGCCAUGUUCACACAUACAAUACCUUAGCUAGCUAGUAACCAUGUUAAUAUCAUCCUAAAAAUUACAAUUGCAUCUUAACAAUACCAUCCACUCAUGAGUAAACUCUAAAUAUACAACAUUAUUCAUGAACAAAACACUGUGUGUAUGACUUUGUGCUUGAAGGAAUCAAACUUUUCUAAAGAGGACAGAAAAAGCGUGCCUACCUCUCAUAGUGCAUCAACAUUAUUUGAGCACGCAGGGCAAAACGUAAGUACACACUCUCCUUUUCCCAGGAUGCAGGAAUGCAUAAUAACAAAUCAACAUGCUAUAUUAAUAUAUGAAGAUUGUGAAAUUCACAAAGUACUUUAACAACUGUUACACAGUCAGUUUCAUUAUGUUUUCAUGUGCCAUGAUUCUGACAUUUGACAUAUGAUCCUCAUAGGAUUAUGCUACAUAGUUUCAGUGUUGCAGUAAAUGUCAUCUCAAUUCAAUACGAUGUGCAUAUACAUAUAGCCAAAUAAGAUUUCCCUGAAGUUUCCUCUGGGGAAAAACAAAGUUAUUCUAUUAAACCCAUGUUCACUGACUGUAAUCUGUGACGCAAGUGGCCUAAUAUGUUUGUGACGUUCCACGGAACCCACGUUAUUGUUUUAAACUCGAUUAUGAUUGGCUUGCAGGACAUUCAACUAUGUGAGUUAUACAUUUUGAAUGUGCUUUUACGUCAGUGUGACAGAUUCACAAUACCGAGCGUUUCUCAAACGGUCCUGCGGUUUUAUCUGCCUAACGGUAUCUUCAUGCACGACUGGAUAGGCCUUUUGGAUACGCUUGUCCAAGGCCCAAGACAUAAAGUAGCCUGCAAUCAUUCCAUUGCUGACCCAUCGGAUGGUUAUCACAUAGAGGAUUGGCUUAAUCUAGAAUCAUGGAUACCUUUCAUAUCUGCGCAUCACAAGUUGGAACUAGUGGUCAAAAUUGGGACAAUGUUGCCCAAAAUAAAUGUUUUCAUGGAGUGAACAAGACCUGCCAACAGAGCUCACUGGAGCAGGGAGACAUCCCGUCAUCCCUUCGGCACCUGACAAAGUACACUUUUUUCUUCUAAAUAACACUAUAGUAACAUCUUCUGCACAAAGGUACAUUCCUAAUAAGAUUGGUGUUAAGUGAGAAAGAAUCCUAAAGAUGGUCCAAUGGGCAUUGUCUGAAGCCUCUCAUCACCUCAGUAUGUUGAACCACCUGAUUUCCUAUAGGAUUCAGAUCCUGCUGAACGAUGUUAAGCAGUCGAUUAACCACAUUCAGGGGAAGCUGAACACCAUGCAGGGGCAGUGUAUUGAGUUGCAGACUGCCAUAUCUAAGGUUGUGCCAGAUGAGUCUCAGAUACAGAAGAAUAAGUCUAUGAUGGUAUGGUGAUAAUGAUUGAGAUGGUGAUUAUAAUAAUGAUGACUAGCGGUACCCCACCCUAAAUCAUUGGAUCUGAUUAAUUCAGUUCAAUGCAAUUCAAUCUUUGAGGACUGCAACCAUAGAAAUACAAUUUAUUUAUGCUACUAAUAAGCUAUUGUCAACUUCCCAUCUAUGGUUAUUUUGCUCACUGCUCACUGUGAAUUGCUCACUGUUACCCUUUGUGUGCAACUAUUAUUGAUUUCUCUCAGAAAAAUAAUUUGGUUGCAAAUGUAACUGGGGCCAUGUAAAUAAUUGUUAGGCUACUCAUUUUGAAUCCAUUGGUGGCAACGUGUGGGACCAUAAAAGUCUGUGUGCGACUGGGCACAGUAAAACAAUUUGGUUGCUGACCUGCCCUACAUCAUAGAAGGCCCCUCACCAUAUGCCGCAUUCAAGUGCAAGUCGGAACUAGGAAACUCUGACAUUUCUGAUCCCAAGUUUCCCACGUGUGAAGUAUCAGAAUCAACCAAUAGGAAGCUCUACGCAAAUAACUUAUAUUCAUUUUAACUCUGAGGUUCCAAGUUUCCGAUAGUACGUGAAUGCGUCAAUAAUUGCCAUGGUAAUUUUUAAUGUUCAGUUAGUGAGCAUUAUGGGUAAUUGUCCUACAUACUUACAUCAAAUGCUUUAUGACAGCAUCAUCUCCUGUAGUUAAGAGUGCCAUUCCAAAGACAUAUUUUUUUAAAUAAACAAAAAUACAAAACACAGCGGAAUAUGCCUAAAAUGAAGAACAUCCACUCAAAAUUGUAGAAGGAGAUCCCCCGCAGCAAAGAGGCUUACGGUAUUAUAAUAUAUUGUAGAUAACAUUAAUGUAAUUUGUGUAUUUACAGUAUCAGUACACGUACAAAUGAAUGUACAUGUUUGGGAUUG